rnacentral:SRP_RNA from 1 species
CCGUGCAGCCGGGGAGUUAGCGGUGCCCUGAACCUGCAAUCCGCUAUAGCAGGGGUGAUAUUUUGCCUAGGAUUUGUUUUUGUAGGGCUGCCCUUUAUAAGUGGCGUUGACGUUUUGGUCUUGCGCAACAGGAAUUUGUGAACCGUGUCAGGUCGGGAACGGAGCAGCACUAAGCAAAAUCUCCUGUGUGCCGUAAGGUAGCUGGGACUGAGUUAACUGUAGAGGUAACGCCUAUGAGGCAAAUACAAAGCAAAAUGCACGG